rnacentral:rRNA from 1 species
AUUGAACGCUGGCGGCAGGCCUAACACAUGCAAGUCGAGCGAGUGGCGGAAGGGUGAGUAAUGUAUGGGGAACUGCCCGAUAGAGGGGGAUAACUACUGGAAACGGUGGCUAAUACAGCAUGCCAUCGGAUGAACCCAUAUGGGAUUAGCUAGUUGGUGAGGUAAAGGCUCACCAAGGCAACGAUCCCUAGCUGGUCUGAGAGGAUGAUCAUCCACACUGGGACUGAGACACGGCCCAGCCUCCUACGGGAGGCAGCAGUGGGGAAUAUUGCACAAUGGGCGCAAGCCUGAUGCAGCCAUGCCGCGUGUAUGAAGAAGGCCUUAGGGUUGUAAAGUACUUUCAGCGGGGAGGCGUUACCCGCAGAAGAAGCACCGGCUAACUCCGUGCCAGCAGCCGCGGUAAUAC